AAACACUGAAGACGAGUUCUAAGGCACAGAAUCUAUCUGGCGAUAGCGUUUUCCAUCUAAACUGUGUGAAUGUCCUGGGAGCACAUGAGAUAGAAACAGGAGCGACUUGAGAAACCCCAAAUCACUUCUGGUGUGAGAGAAUUGGCUGUCUGCAAGGAUGUUGCCCAGGAGACGCCCGGAUGUUUUGAUGUUUUACCAUCCUUGUGGGAGGCUUCUCUCAUGUCCCCGCAUGGAGCUGGACCUGAUAGAGGGAGCUCAUCUGCGCUCUCCCCGGGUUGGAUUCGCACCUGGCAGCCUUCAGGUCAGCAACCCAACCUUCAAGUCACAAGGCUUUAACCCACUAUGUCACCGGGAGCUAAUGGUGAAGUAUAAUUUGUAGCUCAGGUAAUACAAGACUGGCCUGUCUUAAAGCAAAUACCAGAAUAAUAAAUAACAAAUUGCUUCAUUUCAUGACGUUCAGAAUCAUUUGCUUGAGUCACCCACCUCUCUAGCGCCUAAUGUUUGGCUUUAUAUAUCAUCUGUUUCUUCUGCCUUCCUGUUAAAUCAACAUGCAGGUGCUACCUUUCCAACUAGCUCAUUGUUGGGCUCUUUCCCAACCCUUUUCAUGUGGCGCGUGUCCCCAGCAUGUUCCGUGAGAUACAUCUCAUGUUUAUUAUUAGCCUCACAUUAAGCUCUGCUGCCCACUUUGUAGUUAAUAUUAAUAAGAGAAGAAACACUAAAUGCUAAGAGAAAAUGUCUCUGUUAAUUAUUGUAGGCAUGUGAAAAGCAAUUUUGCUGUUGUAACUAAGGAGAGUCAGGCUCUGGUAAACUCUGUUUGAAGAAUA